AACGAACGCUGGCGGCGUGGAUAAGACAUGCAAGUCGAACGAAGCAAUGGAUUUCGGUUUAUUGUUUAGUGGCGAACGGGUGAGUAACACGUGAGUAACCUGCCUCUAAGUUAGGGAUAGCCCCGGGAAACUGGGAUUAAUACCUGAUGGACUCGAAAGAGUAAAGGAGAAAUCCGCUUAGAGAGGGGCUCGCGUCCUAUUAGUUAGUUGGUGAGGUAAUGGCUCACCAAGGCGAUGACGGGUAGCCGGUCUGAGAGGAUGUCCGGCCACACUGGAACUGAGACACGGUCCAGACACCUACGGGUGGCAGCAGUCGAGAAUCAUUCACAAUGGACGAAAGUCUGAUGGUGCGACGCCGCGUGGGGGAGGAAGGUCUUCGGAUUGUAAACCCCUGUCAUGUGGGAGCAAGAUAGAAAUAUGUACCACAAGAGGAAGAGCCGGCUAACUCUGUGCCAGCAGCCGCGGUAAUACAGAGGGC
rnacentral:rRNA from 1 species